UGUCAUUACAGUUCGAGCUCUCUUACAGUCAGGAGCUCCAACUUAUUGAAAUUAUUUGUAAUAAAAAAAAUAAAAAUUAAGAAAAAAUGUGAGAACAAUAAGUUUCGUGGCUAAAUUAACGUUGUGACUUUUCUGCGGCUGAGAAUUGUUUUAAAAGCAAAUUGAAAAUUGUGAUGCUAAAAAAUAGAUGUAAAUUUUUUGUUUAGUUCGUACCAAAUUUCGUUUCAAUGUCAAUGUCAGGAAGUGUGCUACUUAGAAAUGUUAGAUGAAAAUCCACUCGAAGAAAAAACGUUUUAACCUACAACAUGUUACACACAAGAGCACACAAUAAACUAACCCUGAUAAAUGGCGAUCUGCUUGGUGUAUUUGCGUUUUUGCUGACUUUAUAUCGUUGAUGCGAUGGUACCACAGACCCGUGUUUCCAUAGGGUUUGCUGGAUUAGUCGAUCAAAGGCAAUAUAUGAAUAAACUGUUUGUGGCACAAAUUCACCCUCCCAUCUGUAGUAGACAAUAAAAAGUUAAAAAAAAAACAAAAUUAGAACAUACAACACUUAACCAACACUACAAACUCCAGUGUCUACACACACAGCAGACACAGCACACACAGCACACUAAUACUCAAUUCUCAGACGUUUCGAUUUCUUCGUCGAUGCUUAUUUAUGCAUCUUUUAUGCUCGCUCUGUACAUAGACAUAUAUGUAUUAGGAAAAAGAAACCAAGUAACCAAAACCAUACGAAAAAAAAAAUCGUGUUUUUUUUUUGGCCACACUUAAACUUACUUUUUUUUUUGUGUUCGCCCAUAUCGUCGUUGUCGCACAUCAGGAAGUAAGCUUCAUACAAUUAACAUUGUCGCGGUUGGUUACCAAAAAACUGUCAGCCCGCUUAACAAAUCAAUAAUAACAAUAAUAAUAUUUUGGACGCAAUCACCUCGUGCAUCGCCAUAGAAGGGGUUAAAAAAAACAGUUUUUGCACGGAAUCCAGUUGAACAGAAUCAUGAGGGUUGCGCGUCACUGUAUUAUCAGAAGCUCAUAUUUGUUUUGUUCUAUUAAUCGUCUAUCGAAAUAAAAUCACAGAUGCAACAAA